rnacentral:rRNA from 1 species
UAGUCCACGCCGUAAACGAUGUCAACUAGCCGUUGGGAGCAAUUAAGCUCUUAGUGGCGCAGCUAACGCGAUAAGUUGACCGCCUGGGGAGUACGCCGGCAACGGUAAAACUCAAAUGAAUUGACGGGGGCCCGCACAAGCGGUGGAGUAUGUGGUUUAAUUCGAUGCAACGCGAAGAACCUUACCAGGACUUGACAUCCCUUGAACUUCUCAGAAAUGAGUUGGUGCCUUCGGGAGCAAGGAGACAGGUGGUGCAUGGCUGUCGUCAGCUCGUGUCGUGAGAUGUUGGGUUAAGUCCCGCAACGAGCGCAACCCACGUUUUUUAGUGCCAUCAUUAAGUUGGGCACUCUAGAGAGACUGCCGGUGACAAACCGGGNGGAAGGUGUGGACGACGUCAAGUCAUCAUGCCCCUUAGUUCUGGGGCUACACACGUACUACAAUGCUUCGGACAGAGGGCAGCGAGCCAGCGAUGGGUGAGCUAAUCCC